UACGAAGGGGGCUAGCGUUGCUCGGAAUCACUGGGCGUAAAGGGCGCGUAGGCGGGAUGGCAAGUCAGUCGUGAAAUCUCUCGGCCCAACCGAGAAACGUCGGCUGAUACUGCCGUUCUUGAGGGAUGCAGAGGAGACUGGAAUUCCCGGUGUAGCGGUGAAAUGCGUAGAUAUCGGGAAGAACACCAAAGGCGAAAGCACUUUGCUGGGCCGAAACUGACACUGAUAGACGAAAGCUAGGGGAGCAAAUGGG
rnacentral:rRNA from 1 species